rnacentral:rRNA from 1 species
GACGAACGCUGGCGGCGUGCUUAACACAUGCCAGUCGAACGGAAAGGCCCUGCUUGCCGGGUACUCGAGUGGCGAACGGGUGAGUAACACGUGGGUGAUCUGCCCUGCACUUCGGGAUAAGCCUGGGAAACUGGGUCUAAUACCGGAUAGGAGCCAUUUUUAGUGUGAUGGUUGGAAAGUUUUUUCGGUGUAGGAUGAGCUCGCGGCCUAUCAGCUUGUUGGUGGGGUAAUGGCCUACCAAGGCGGCGACGGGUAGCCGGCCUGAGGGGGUGGACGGCCACAUUGGGACUGAGAGACGGCCCAGACUCCGACGGGAGGCAGCAGUGGGGAAGAUUGCACAAUGGGCGCAAGCCUGAUGCAGCGACGCCGCGUGGGGGAUGACGGCCUUCGGGUUGUAAACUCCUUUCGCUAGGGACGAAGCUUUUUGUGACGGUACCUAGAUAAGAAGCACCGGCUAACUACGUG